GACGUCAAAUCAUCAUGCCCCUUAUGAUUUGGGCUACACACGUGCUACAAUGGACAAUACAAAGGGCAGCGAAACCGCGAGGUCAAGCAAAUCCCAUAAAGUUGUUCUCAGUUCGGAUUGUAGUCUGCAACUCGACUACAUGAAGCUGGAAUCGCUAGUAAUCGUAGAUCAGCAUGCUACGGUGAAUACGUUCCCGGGUCUUGUACACACCGCCCGUCACACCACGAGAGUUUGUAACACCCGAAGCCGGUGGAGUAACCAUUUUGGAGCUAGCCGUCGAAGGUGGGACAAAUGAUUGGGGUGAAGUCGUAACAAGGUAGCCGUAUCGGAAGGUGCGGCUGGAUCACCUCCUUUCUAAGGA
rnacentral:rRNA from 1 species